UUGUUUUCUUUACACGUUCCUGAACUAUCUAGCACACAGCUACAAUUGCUGUCGCUAGUUGGCAAUAUUGGACUUUGGCUACUUUCUCUGGAGAUCUGCGUGAUUUAAAUUGCAUUAUAUUUCUACAUCCCGCAUGGAGAACAGUGAUCAUGAACUCGCAUCUAAAGCAAGUGAAAAACCUCAACUUACAUGGUGUAAAAAAGCGGAAGCUAUUCUGGUGGUCGCCUCUGCUUUCGUCUGCAACGUUUUGGUUCACAGUGUCAUUGUAUCACUUCAUCUGUAUUUUGCUGAACUGAUUCGAGAAUAUCCAAAUAACCGUGAACUUAUAUCAGUAAUUAUAUUCUUACCACUAGUAGUUUAUGGAUU
rnacentral:lncRNA from 1 species